GGGAGAUAGACGCUGCUGCCUGUG
rnacentral:piRNA from 1 species